ensembl:snRNA U1 U1 spliceosomal RNA
AUACUUACCUGGCAGGGGAGAUACCAUGAUCACAAAGGUGGUUUUCCCAGGACGAGGCUUAUCCAUUGCACUCCAGAUGUGCUGACCCCUGCGAUUUCCCCAAAUGUGGGAAAUUCGACUGCAUAAUUUGUGGUAGUGGGGGACUGCGUUCGCACUUUCCCCUG